UAUUUCCUUCUUCCAAUUUUAUUCUGUCCUUUCUUAUAGUAAAAAUCUCAAAUUUUAACACCCAAAAUGUAAAUUCAAUUAAAACAAAUGUUCAUAUAAAUAAUAAAUUUGUAUUUUGUAUAAUAAUCAAAGCAAUCAUGAAAAUAAAAG